rnacentral:rRNA from 1 species
GUGGAUUCGGCAGACUUAACACAUGCAAGUCGAGGGGCAGCAUUUCCAGCUUGCUGAGAAGAUGGCGACCGGCGCACGGGUGAGUAACGCGUAUAGAAUCUGCCCUUUACUGGGGAAUAGCCCGAAGAAAUUUGGAUCAAUGCCCCAUGGUCCCUUCUUGUGGAUUCACGAUUAGGGUAAAGGUUACGGUAAAGGAUGACUAUGCGUCCCAUUAGUUAGUUGGUAGGGUAACGGCCUACCAAGACCGCGAUGGGUAGGGGCCCUGAGAGGGGGAUCCCCCACACUGGUACUGAGACACGGACCAGACUCCUACGGGAGGCAGCAGUGAGGAAUAUUGGACAAUGGGCGAGAGCCUGAUCCAGCCAUGCCGCGUGCAGGAAGACGGUCCUAUGGAUUGUAAACUGCUUUUAUACGGGAAGAACCUAGGGCACGUGUGCUCUACUGACGGUACCGUAAGAAUAAGGAUCGGCUAACUCCGUGCCAGCAGCCGCGGUAAUACGGAGGAUCCGAGCGUUAUCCGGAAUCAUUGGGUUUAAAGGGUCCGUAGGCGGGCCAUUAAGUCAGGGGUGAAAGUCUGCGGCUCAACCGUAGAAUUGCCCUUGAUACUGGUGGUCUUGAGUUAUGGUGAAGUAACUAGAAUAUGUGGUGUAGCGGUGAAAUGCAUAGAUAUCACAUAGAAUACCGAUUGCGAAGGCAGGUUACUAACCAUAUACUGACGCUGAUGGACGAAAGCGUGGGGGAGCGAACGGGAUUAGAUACCCCGGUAGUCCACGCCGGUAACGAUGGAUACUAGCUGUCCGGCAGCAAUGCUGGGUGGCUAAGCGAAAGUGAUAAGUAUCCCACCUGGGGAGUACGUUCGCAAGGAUGAAACUCAAAGGAAUUGACGGGGGCCCGCACAAGCGGUGGAUCAUGUGUUUUAUUUCGAUGAUACGCAAGGGACCUUACCAGGGCUUAGAUGAG